rnacentral:rRNA from 1 species
CCUACGGGAGGCAGCAGUGGGGAAUAUUGGACAAUGGGCGAAAGCCUGAUCCAGCAAUGCCGCGUGAGUGAUGAAGGCCUUAGGGUUGUAAAGCUCUUUUACCAGGGAUGAUAAUGACAGUACCUGGAGAAUAAGCUCCGGCUAACUCCGUGCCAGCAGCCGCGGUAAUACGGAGGGAGCUAGCGUUGUUCGGAAUUACUGGGCGUAAAGCGUACGUAGGCGGUUAUUCAAGUCAGAGGUGAAAGCCUGGAGCUCAACUCCAGAACUGCCUUUGAAACUAGAUAGCUAGAAUCUUGGAGAGGUGAGUGGAAUUCCGAGUGUAGAGGUGAAAUUCGUAGAUAUUCGGAAGAACACCAGUGGCGAAGGCGACUCACUGGACAAGUAUUGACGCUGAGGUACGAAAGCGUGGGGAGCAAACAGGAUUAGAUACCCUGGUAGUCCACGCCGUAAACGAUGAUAACUAGCUGUUCGGGCUCUACGAGCUUGAGUGGCGCAGCUAACGCAUUAAGUUAUCCGCCUGGGGAGUACGGUCGCAAGNUUAAAACUCAAAUGAAUUGACGG